AGUCGGUGGCUGGUCGGUGACUGGGACCAGACCGUCGCCUCCUCCCUUUUACAGCUUUAAGUCUGUGACCCGAGGCCUCUCUGUAUAUUCCCGUGGGGUUGGGCCUAGUUGUCCUGGGAGAAACUAGAUGGAUGAGGAGUAUUUCCGAGACAGGUCCCAGGGCCAGCGCAGCCUUUUCUGUUGCAGAACCGCGACUGUUGUUUUGGGAUCCAGGCCGGAGGGUUUGUUGCUUGUGUUCAUUCCAGUUAACCAUUAGUACUCGAGAAGGUGGUACAGAACGCAUCUAUCCCCUUAGAAGAAAAGAAAUUAAAAGCCAAACUAAACUGGGAUAUAUAUUAAUAUAGGAAACUACCACUGAGACAUAGGAAAGUGUAUUAAAAUAUAACUAGUGAGGUGCUAUGUAUAAUUCAGAGGAAGGGGAAAUUAUGCAUGGGCCAGACUACUAACAAAAGGCUCCAAAGCCUGGGAUACGCUGAGGGCCUUUCCAUAACAGAAAAUGAAAAGGAACCUAAAUUUGAGACUAGAUUUGAGGAAAGGCACAGUUGCGCUGGAGUAGAAAGCGUCUGUCUACCGCAGUGGAAAUGAACUAAAGGGCUCCCAAAAUCUCUCCUGCAGCAUUUUCCUUGAGAAGGAGGAAGGUUUGCAUCUCUAAAUCUCUCUCUGGGAACAGUGUGGAAGAUGGAUUGAAAUGGUGUAAAAUUGAAGAUGUGGACUCCGGUUGGGAGACUACACCCUAGAUAAGAUGAAGAGAACUUGAAGCAAGACAAUAGCAAUGGGAAUAUAAAGGAGAGGAGACAUUUGAGUGAAAUUAAGGAAGCACAAUCUGCAGACUGUUUUCUUUUUUUUAAGAGUCAG
rnacentral:lncRNA from 1 species